rnacentral:tRNA from 1 species
GAGGGUACAGCUCAAGUGGUAGAGUGCAUGCUUAGCACGCAUGAGGUCCUGGGUUCAAUCUCCAGUACCUCCU